rnacentral:rRNA from 1 species
ACCACUUCGGUGGGGAUUAGUGGCGAACGGGUGAGUAACACGUGGGCAAUCUGCCCUGCACUCUGGGACAAGCCCUGGAAACGGGGUCUAAUACCGGAUACUGAUCAUCUUGGGCAUCCAAGGUGUUCGAAAGCUCCGGCGGUGCAGGAUGAGCCCGCGGCCUAUCAGCUUGUUGGUGAGGUAGUGGCUCACCAAGGCGACGACGGGUAGCCGGCCUGAGAGGGCGACCGGCCACACUGGGACUGAGACACGGCCCAGACUCCUACGGGAGGCAGCAGUGGGGAAUAUUGCACAAUGGGCGAAAGCCUGAUGCAGCGACGCCGCGUGAGGGAUGACGGCCUUCGGGUUGUAAACCUCUUUCAGCAGGGAAGAAGCGAAAGUGACGGUACCUGCAGAAGAAGCGCCGGCUAACUACG